rnacentral:rRNA from 1 species
AAUUUUGGACAAUGGGGGAAACCCUGAUCCAGCCAUCCCGCGCGUAUGAUGAAGGCACUCGGGUUGUAAAGUAAUUUUGGCAGAGAAGAAAAGGUAUCUCCUAAUACGAGAUAAUGUUGACGGUACCUGAAGAAUAAGCACUGGCUAACUAGGUGCCUGCAGCCGCGGUAAUACGUAGGGUGCAAGCGUUAAUCGGAAUUACUGGGCGUAAAGCGUGUGUAGGCGGUUCGGAAAGAAAGAUGUGAAAGCCCAGGGCUCAACCUUGGAACUGCAUUUUUAACUGCCGAGCUAGAGUAUGUCAGAGGGGGGUAGAAUUCCACGUGUAGUAGUGAAAUGCGUAGAUAUGUGGAGGAAUACCGAUGGCGAAGGCAGCCCCCUGGGAUAAUACUGACGCUCAGACACGAAAGCGUGGGGAGCAAACA